UACGUAGGGGGCGAGCGUUGUCCGGAUUUAUUGGGCGUAAAGAGCGUGUAGGUGGCCAGGUAGGUCUGCUGUGAAAACUCGAGGCUCAACCUCGAGACGUCGGCGGAAACCAUCUGGCUAGAGUCCGGAAGAGGAGAGUGGAAUUCCUGGUGUAGCGGUGAAAUGCGCAGAUAUCAGGAAGAACACCCGUGGCGAAGGCGGCUCUCUGGGACGGUACUGACGCUGAGACGCGAAAGCGUGGGGAGCGAACAGG
rnacentral:rRNA from 1 species